AUGUGUGCGAUGCCAGGAAAGGUCAGGAGAUGAUUUACUGAACAUUUAUGGAGGCUUUAUCUUCAGUCCUUGUCACCAAGUCGGGCGAUGCUUCAUAGUGGGUCGCCAAACAGACGUGGAGAAAGAAAGAGCGUGACAACGGCGCAACCCCUGAGUUCCGCAAUGACACAGUCUUUAACCAGCCCAACUCUUGGCAGGUACAGAACACUAAAGGACCAUUUUAUUUCUAAAUGAGUCUGAAUGGCGCACCACAAAGACUGGAAAUGCUGCUGCCCUUUCAUUUUAAAUGGCUAUCGGGUUCAUCCUGCACAUAAAACCCAUCACAGAAAAUGAAUAUAAGCGGUUGGAGAAGAGACUGGAGAUGUGAACUGUCCCUCUGGAACGGGCUGCCAUUAAGUUUACUAAAAAUGUCUGAUGGUUUCGCCCAGACAGUUAGGAGAGCUGUGUCUGAACGGGAUCCAAAUCUCUGAUGACCACAGCUGCUCCUGGAGCCUUCCAUUAGAGGUCUUCUAAAUGGGCCCGUAGAGAAAAUCCGGAGAUCCGCAUCCACAUGCAGUGGCCAAAGGCCUGCAAGCAUGCCUUCACAUUUGUGUUCGUGGUUUGAAGAUGAGGAUGUGCCGUUUGAUCUGAAUUUGUGCUGAAAUACCAUGGAGUUUAAUCGGACGUACUGCCAAAGAUGUCGAUAUAAAAAGUGAUUCAAUGGAAUGAUUUGGACCAUGGGGCAGCCCUAAAAAUGGCCAACUCCCUGGACAGUGCACUGACGAAUUGAAACACAACCAGAACCAGAGACAACAGAUCAAUUAAGAACCCUGGUGGAUCCAAUCAAGGAAUCACACGAAUGGCUGAAUAUGGUGGACUUGUGACAGAUCAGGGCAUUCAGGCUGGUGACAUUCCUCCUGGCGAGCAGAUCCAUCCUGGGCCGGGGGUGAAAAAUGCAGCGCCGCGCUGCUGCUCAGCUGCAGAUGAAUGGAGCUAUCUGUCUUGUCACGAGGGGUCGGCGGGAGAGGUUACAGCCCAACUGUACCUGGUCUCCGGUGCUGACGCCGGCACGCCGCUUCCCUUUACAAGGGAAGGAACAGGGAAAAAAGAAGAGCGGGAGAGAGAGAGAAACAAAUCCUGCCCCAUCAAGCACUUCUUCAGUCCCUCCAGAGCCCAUCUCACUUCCCAUCAUCCCGCGGUCCUGCUGCCCUGAGCGCAGGCUUUGACACAUCUAUAUGUUUUUCCUUCUGACCUUUCAACGUCCUUUCUGUCAGCGCCUGUAAACCAUAAGCUGAUGUAUGAGGGCAAUUUUUAGCGGUGCCACUUGUAUCUGAGUGAUUGCGCACACUUUACAUUUGGGGGGCCUGCCACCCUGCCACCUUCUCAACAUCUCUUUAUUUGCUUUGCUUGAGAUUGAAGCAGAGAAACUGAAGGGAAGGAAUAAAAAGAGUGGAUGGGGAGGGGACAGUGGAGCCCAUUCUCAACAACCUCUGGGCAACAGGCCUGCACUUUAUCAGUCCGGCGAGCUCAGCCCUCAGGCCAAGCCUGACCAAUCACACCUUGGAAACACGUGCUUGAACAAACACGUACAUCAGUGCGACAGACUCCUGUACAAAGGGGUGAAUGGAGGGAACUGAGAACUGCUAAACUUUCAUUGGAGUGCUGAUCUUACAUAUUAAUGUCUAAUUUUAAUACCUGUAAUUCAGGGGUUUUCAAACAGGGGACGAAAGGGGUUAUAUUGGUGGUCAGAAUUUUUUUUUUUUUUUUAAAUAUAUGAAAUAUGUGCAAUAAAAAUAAAUAAAUAAAUAAAUACAUUUAAGAUAUAUAUUUUAUGGAAAGAAAAAUAUUUUACAUAAUGUUUUUUUUUUAUGUUAAAGUUAUAAUUUAGCAGAUAUUAUUUAAAACCUUCAUGCAAAUUUUAAUACUUUAAAAAAAAAUACAGUAAUUCUGAUUUGUUUACUGCUUUCUGAAGACUGUCUGAAGUUGGAAAUCAUGGGAAAUCAUAUUUAUUGUUAAAAACAAAUUUACUUGAAAAUGUUUCUUUUUAAGUUUAUGCAUGUAAAAUUAUUCUCAUAAUGGAUAGAAAAAAUAAUCUAUUAAUUAAAAAAGUUUUUCAGAUAAUUUUUAAUUAUUUACAGGCUUGUAGUUAUUAUAGUCUAAAAAAAAAAAAAUUGAACUUAUUUUAUUUCAUCUAGAUGCCAAGGCAACAUUUCUCAUUUUAAUUUAAUUUAACUUAUACUAAAAUAACCAAAACUAAAGCUAAAAAUUAAUAGUACUAGUAAUAAUAAUAAUUCAAAAACUAUACAGACCAGAAAGAAACAAAAAGAAAGAUUUUACAUUUUUGUUUAAGUGUUAAUUUAGCAGAUAUUAUUUAAAACCUUCAUGCAAAUUUUAAUACUUUAAAAAUAAUACAGUAAUACUGAUUUGUUUACUGCUUUCUGAAGACUGUAUGAAGUUGGAAAUCAUGGGAAAUCAUAUUUAUUGUUUAAAAACAAAUUUACUUGAAAAUGUUUCUUUUUAGGUUUAUGCAUGUAAAAUUAUUCUCAUAUGGAUAGAAUGGAUAGAAAAAAAUCUGUUAACUUAAAAGUUUUUCAGAUAAGUUUUAAUUAUUUACAGGUUUGUAGUAGUUAUUAUAAUCUAAAAAAAAAAA